rnacentral:rRNA from 1 species
UGAGGAAUCUUCCACAAUGGGCGAAAGCCUGAUGGAGCGACGCCGCGUGCAGGAUGAAGGCCUUCGGGUUGUAAACUGCUUUUAUAAGUGAAAAAUAUGACGGUAACUUAUGAAUAAGCACCGGCUAACUACGUGCCAGCAGCCGCGGUCAUACGUAGGGUGCAAGCAUUAUCCGGAGUGACUGGGCGUAAAGAGUUGCGUAGGUGGUUUGUUAAGUAAAUAGCGAAAUCUGGGGGCUCAACCUCACAGACUGUUAUUCAAACUGGCAAACUCGAGAAUGGUAGAGGUAACUGGAAUUUCUAGUGUAGGAGUGAAAUCCGUAGAUAUUAGAAGGAACACCAAUGGCGUAGGCAGGUUACUGGACCAUUUCUGACACUGAGGCACGAAAGCGUGGGGAGCGAA